UACGUAGGGACCAAGCGUUGUUCGGAUUUACUGGGCGUAAAGGGCGCGUAGGCGGCGCGGUAAGUCACUUGUGAAAUCUCUGAGCUUAACUCAGAACGGCCAAGUGAUACUGCAGUGCUAGAGUGUGGAAGGGGCAAUCGGAAUUCUUGGUGUAGCGGUGAAAUGCGUAGAUAUGCGGAGGAACACCGAUGGCGAAGGCAAUCCCCUGGGCCUGCACUGACGCUCAUGCACGAAAGCGUGGG
rnacentral:rRNA from 1 species